CGGUACUCGACGUGGCGAACGGGUGAGUAACACGUGGGUGAUCUGCCUUGCACUUCGGGAUAAGCUUGGGAAACUGGGUCUAAUACCGGAUAGGACAGCUGUUUAGUGUCAGUUGUGGAAAGUUUUUCGGUGCAAGAUGAGCUCGCGGCCUAUCAGCUUGUUGGUGGGGUAAUGGCCUACCAAGGCGUCGACGGGUAGCCGGCCUGAGAGGGUGUACGGCCACAUUGGGACUGAGAUACGGCCCAGACUCCUACGGGAGGCAGCAGUGGGGGAUUUUGCACAAUGGGCGCAAGCCUGAUGCAGCGACGCCGCGUGAGGGAUGAAGGCCUUCGGGUUGUAAACCUCUUUCGCUGGGUUGAAAGGCCAUGCUUUGGGUGUGGUUGAUUUGAACUGGUAAAGAAGUACCGGCUAACUACGUGCCAGCAGCCGCGGUAAUACGUAGGGUACUAGCGUUGUCCGGAUUUAUUGGGCGUAAAGGGCUUGUAGGUGGUUUGUCGCGUCUGUCGUGAAAUCCUGUGGCUUAACCAUGGGCUUGCGGUGGGUACGGGCAGGCUUGAGUGCGGUAGGGGAGACUGGAAUUCCUGGUGUACGGUGGAAUGCGCAGAUAUCAGGAGGAACACCGGUGGCGAAGGCGGGUCUCUGGGCCGUUACUGACACUGAGGAGCGAAAGCGUGGGGAGCGAACAGGAUUAGAUACCCUGGUAGUCCAUGCUGUAAACGUUGGGCACUAGGUGUGGGGGCCGUGUGGUUUCUGCGCCGUAGCUAACGCAUUAAGUGUCCCGCCUGGGGAGUCGCCG
rnacentral:rRNA from 1 species